rfam:Acyrthosiphon pisum strain LSR1 Contig34720, whole genome shotgun sequence.
CCGUGUUCUGUGACUGACUCGGCUGGCAACGGACUGAGCCCUCCGGUCUGUCACGGAACACGGGA